rnacentral:rRNA from 1 species
GAUGAACGCUGGCGGCGUGCCUAAUACAUGCAAGUCGAGCGAACGGACGAGAAGCUUGCUUCUCUGAUGUUAGCGGCGGACGGGUGAGUAACACGUGGAUAACCUACCUAUAAGACUGGGAUAACUUCGGGAAACCGGAGCUAAUACCGGAUGAUAUUUUGAACCGCAUGGUUCAAAAGUGAAAGACGGUCUUGCUGUCACUUAUAGAUGGAUCCGCGCUGCAUUAGCUAGUUGGUAAGGUAACGGCUUACCAAGGCAACGAUGCAUAGCCGACCUGAGAGGGUGAUCGGCCACACUGGAACUGAGACACGGUCCAGACUCCUACGGGAGGCAGCAGUAGGGAAUCUUCCGCAAUGGGCGAAAGCCUGAAGGAGCAACGCCGCGUGAGUGAUGAAGGUCUUCGGAUCGUAAAACUCUGUUAUUAGGGAAGAACAUAUGUGUAAGUAACUGUGCACAUCUUGACGGUACCUAAUCAGAAAGCCACGGCUAACUACGUG